UUAAAAGCGUGUUGUCUUUCCUUCUUUGGAUCCUAUUGUGUCUAUGUGGCUUCUCAGUAUAUCUUGGAUACAUGUGCACCAGUUAAAAAUUAUUAAGAGCAUGCCAUUUUCAGUGUUACCCAUAAACUUUCCCAGUUUGUUCCUUUAAGUUUUAAGUUGUGAUUCCUUUUAUAUAAUAUGCUAAUUUCAUAAAAGUUCCCUGGAAGGAUUUUCUCAGAACUCUUCUACAUACACAUCCUUUAUUCAAAUUCUCAUUACUUAUGUCUCUUACUACGUAAUAAUUUUUUCUUUGAACUUUUUAGUUUAAUACAUAUCCAUGAAAUCUUCUCAGUACCAUUAACUGUAUUAAACACAGUAAGUAUAGCAAUGAAGCAAAAACUACUCCUAGAAGGGACACAAAUAUAUAAAUAUAAUUUGAGUAUCCCUCCCUAUUUGUGUGUGUGUUCUGAAUACAGAGCCUAUUCUUAUUUGUUCAUGUUCUAAAAACACUGUACAAAAUGUUACCUUUUUAAAACUUCCUUAACAAACACCUCAUUGGCUGAUAAAAGCAAGUUAGGAAGACCUAGUGACAAGUAGAAGGAGUGUUUAAUCUGGGAUGGGUGUGCAAUAAAAAUCAUGGGUCAGUUGUCAGUUUUUCAGUUGGGAGAACACAACAACCUGGCUAAUACAUGGGACUUUAGCAAAUGACUGAACUUAAGAGUAUCCUACACAAACAGAAUCAUCUUCCAGAAACUCAAUAAGGUGAGUUAUUAAUUACUAACUAUUCCAUUUUUGUCAUUGCCUCUUCAAUUAGUUCAUCUGAUGCAUUAUGUCCAUUUAAAUACAAAAGUUUACUAUCACAAGAUUGGAAAAGACAGUUCCUCUUUAGAAAGCUCAAUAAAGAUGUCUGUCCCCCAAACACACACAUUGAGGAAGGGGAGUUAGAUUUCUACUCAGGCAGAGUAAGAACCUGUUUUUUGAGAACACAGUGUUUACAAAGUCUUGUCUUGACAUAGGCAAGGUUCACACAUAGCUCCAAAGGGGGAAAACUAGCAUAAACGUCUCAGUUUCUUCAUGUACAAAGUUGUAUCAGUAGCAUCUUAGUCCUAGGACCUUGUUCUACGGAUACAAGGUAGAAUGGUACAGUCUGCUCAUUCAGGGUCUCCCAUAGCCGGUUCCAUAACAACUGACUGAGUAAUGUGUGAUGGAGUCACACUUUCUGGAGAUUCCUUCAGCUUAAUUUGCUCUAAUCAGAAAGGCAUCACUAGAAGGCAACCAAACCUUCUGCCUCAUAAAAGUUUACUUGCAUCUACUAUCAUUUACCAUGGUCAACAAAAUGCACAUUCAUGUUUCUUAGAGCAUCCUUGAUCUUGUUUCCUGAGUGUGAAUUUUCCAGCAUCAUCUCUCUAGAGCAAGGGAGGGUGAACCCCAGGUUGUGAGGUGUUGCUGGGGUCAAGGCAUGGUACUGUUUUGGCCCCUGCUUUUGCUUUGUCCCUUUGACCUUUACUUCACUCCUUGGCUCCUUCCAAUUGUUCUGAGCUUCUCUUCCUCUGCUCUAUUGUAGUGUGUACGUGCUGAAGGAUUUUACAUUUCGGGAUGACAACUUACCAGCUGAUAAAUUUUAUGCUGAGGUUUUCUCUAACCUAGAUUGAAAACCUGUAAAUCAGAGACUGUGCUGCCUCACACUACCUAUCCUUCCCACAUAAAUCAUUCACACAUAAAUCAUCAAAAUGACCUGCCAGCUCACCCCGAGUCACACUGCCAGGCCCUCCUCCUUCCAAAUGGUGUUCAUUUCAUCUCAAUUGGUGUCUAGUCCCAUGCUAAUACUUAAAUGAGCAAGAAUUAAUUUAAAAAUUUGAACCCUUGUGACAGAACCCAUUUAAUACUAAAGAGAAAGACACAAUAGUUCCUGUAUCUAGAUUUAUAAGAAUUUUAUUCUAAAGAUUUCUCUGAGUAUGUUCAGAAGGGUUUAAUGAAAUUGUUGUUUAGUUUGCUUAUUUGUUGGUUUGUUUUUUUCUUUUUGCUAUUCAGAUCUGAAUCACUAGCAGAAAGGCUUAGGAUUUGGUCUUGUGUCUCCUUCUUUAUAAUAAAAUCUAUUUUCUUAUUCUGUGAUAUCCUGGAUUUAUUUUUAUAUUUCUCUUUAUUACUUGUGAGAUUCUUAAUUUAAGUACUAUCCUAGUAGUUUAAAAAUGUCUUAUUUAGCAGAUUAUGCUGUGAUCCAAUGACAAAUUCUCAUGAUACUUUCUUUAAAUUUUUUUAAAAGCUGUUUAAAAAUGAGCGAGCAUGGUUUUUUAAAAAGCUGUUGCUUUUGCAGUAGUUUCCUUUUCUCGGGGUUUUAUUUUGCCAGUUCUAACUUACAGUUAUUCAAGCAUGCUAAUAUUUGCCUGUCAGGUAUUUUGACAGGUAAAUAUUUGUAUAUAAUAUUGUCAUACACAAACCACAACACAUGGAUAGAGUAUGUACGAGAGGUGAAUUUUUUUUAUAUACCACCAAAAUAUCUGCCUGACAACAAUUUCAUAGUUCAACAACUUUUUUGUGAAUUUGCAUUGACCUGAAUAUUUUAGCCAAUUAGUGUGUUUGCUGAAAUGGUUUCUUAUUCACUUAACAUAAUUAUAGAGCUGUGCUCAAUGCUGUGAGCUAAAGGUGCUUCAGUAUUCAGUGAUUAGCCCUUUGUUUGACACUUUAUAAUUUUAACAAACAGGAGGGAAGAACCAGCUUUUGGUCCAAAUAGCUUCUUUUGUAAACUACCAGGCUAAUGACCUUGAAUAGGAAUAUCUCAGAGUAAAUUUCCAAAUAAAUUUUCUAGGCACAUUUUAAAGAUCUGACUUACUGUGCAGGUAAAAAAAAUAUGUAAAAUUUUUCAACAAAGAAAAAUAUAAAUAUUAUUUUUUAACUUUAUAAAGUAUUGUAAGUUAAGAAUGGAGCCAUAAGGUAGUAGUUUAAUGUAGGGCUUGUCAUGUACUUGUUAUGUAGUGGGUACAAACUUGCUGUAUAGUUAUUAGCACAUAAGAAUUCUUGCAAUUGGAGCAAAAAUCUAUAGAAAAAUGGUAAUACUCAUAAGCCCUUUUGCUCGUGUAAUGUUAUCUAUGUGGUAGACAGGUUAUUAAAUGCUCUGCUUGUAUUCUGUAAUCUAACCUCACAAUGACUCUAAGAGGAGGUAGCGGUAUUAGCCCCAUUUUCUCUGAUGGAAAAUGCUGGUCUAUAAUAGUUGAGUCCUACAAUUAAAAAGUGACAGAGGUGAAGUUUUAAAACAUAAACUCUUAACCUGGAAAACUGACCUCUGGAAGCAGUGGCCUUUCCUCUCAUGGCCAAGUCUGGGUCUAACAGGUGGAGAAAAUGCAGGGAAGAGCUCAAAAAAAAAAAAAAUGAACCGGAUCAACCUCACAAAGCUUUCAUUCUGAAACUGGUGUUUUCUGAGCUCUCAAUGAGCUUAUUUUCUUGAAGCCUAAUCUGGUUUCUGAACAAGGGAGUAUCCCCAUCUAGAAGGAGAAGGAGGAGGAAAGAAGAUCCUACUAGAAACCACCAUCGUGUGUGUAUAAACAGCUAAGGCCACAGCUAAAAUUGAGAAGUAAUGUGACAAUUUAUAGAUGCUGUAUUCCAGCGAAAGGAUUCAGGAUGAAAAAGUACAGCAGAAGCAAUAGUCGUUCCUAAUUUAGAAAAUCUUUGAUGGCCGUAAGAAAUUGUAUAGUUCUACUUUGUAAAUCUCUUCACGAGGACAAUUUAAAUUGAAUUUUAAUAUUGACAAUAACUUUAGACUAAACAAGGUAUGAAGCAUACGCAUGCUCUCAGGCCAGUUGCUUCUUUUUAGGACAAACAUGCUAAAGUUUUUGAGCUGAAUUAUUAGCAAGACAAAGGAUUUAACCCAAAUCCCUUCUAAAGCAUGAGAAGAGAUCAAACAAAAUGGAAUCCCACCUGACUCAGAGAUCAAAUGGGAAGGGCUAUGCUUACUUCUACCUUGGGAGCUUUGCUUAGCCCUGGCCUUGGAACAGUGGUCAAGAGAAUGUUGUUAUUAGGAGCCAAACCUAGUCUUGCUUGCCUGAAGAUGCUCUCUGAAUGUUCUUGAUAUCCCCCCAAUGCCUCUUGAUAACUCACUCCAAAUAGGUUGGCAAUCCAACUACUAGAUCUGGCUAAGCUAGAAAGAGUGUUGAAAAUGAACUGAAGUUUAGGAAAGAGUGAACUAUUUUUAGCCAAAACUGUGUAGUAUGAUAUGGUCUUUUAAAAACAGGAGACAUAGAAUUGGGUUGCUGAACUUAAGUAUCUUUCUUUUGGUUUUAAUGAUGCAUUGCAUUUCUUCUGUAGCUUAAAAUCCAUGACAUAAUUUUCUAAAUCCCAUUCCAACAGAACACAUGCACUGUCCUCAGGAGUAUUCAAUGCCUCAUAAAUUAUAUGCUGCUAUGCAUAUUCUAAAAGUUUAACACUGUUCUAAGAGGUGACUUUUUUUUUCUUGAGGAACAAGGGAAAUCUAGAGCAAUAAUUGAGCACAUCGUUAUUUGUCACUGAUAAUAGCUGUACAAAUCAAAUAUUACUCUGCUGAAAUUUUACUCUAGUUUGGCCUACAUAGACUUCAGAAAUAUGUCAAAAUAUUUAAUCUCAGAGAAGCAAUAUGUCUGUAUGUAUUUCUGCAUAUAUAAAAAGUAUAGGGAGCCACAAGUCACCAGUAUAUUUAACAUCUGCUCAGCCAUAAUUUCAAGGGUAUUUAAGCAUAAUGCCAUCAAUAUUAAUGCAUAUAGAAUAUUAAAGUUUCAGCCACAACAUUUGCUUGAGCGUUAAGUUAAUCAACAAAUAUCCAUUUAUUCAAAAGCACCCUGCUAGUAGCUGUGACUGAACGUAAUGAUAAUGGCAGCAAUGCAAGCGCAGGAGACUGUGGCCAGGGAGUUAAUUACAGAAGGAUGGGUGUUAAGUGCAGAUAAUGAAAGCAAGGAAUGAUAGAGAGGGAGGGAACCAUGAUUAGGAGAGAAAAAAUGUAAAACAGAGACCCACCUGAGAAUAGACAUGUAGGGACCAGAUAGGGUUGUAGCAGGCAUCAGAAGAGAGGUGAGUCGAGAGACUAAGGAGAACUUCCUUAUGUCACAGACUCAGAGAUGGACUCAACAGGAGCGAAGUAACUAGCUUUGACACAGAAAGUGUUUUGUUUAAACUAGAAUGUCUUUUAUAUUUCCAUUUGAUUCUCAUCUGACCUGCCAUUGCCACUGCCUUUCAGAUGUAUUCUAGCAAUAUUCAAAAAUUGCUGAAUAUCCCAGUACUCAAGAGGCAGAUGUACGUCUUGAAUUUAAGGAAAAAUCAUGAUGAAAAAUGAACCUUGGCCUGGCCUACUGGCACAUUCCACAUGAGCAAAGCACUCAGCAUCAGCUUCUUUACUUAGAAAAGCUUUGCCUCCAUGUGGUGUUUGGGACUGAGAGGAUCAUACGGCCAAGGCGCUCAUCACUCAAAUUGGUUGGAACAUCUCAUUCUUAGGCUCCUAUCCUGUAACCAAUGUCCAGCUCUUGUCUCAAGUUGUUUCAGUCAGAAACUUGACCACACAAGCAUAGCAUUUAAAAGUCUUUGUGAAAUUCAGGCUCCCUUUUGAUGUGUUAUUAAGAGAAUCAAAUCACUCCUCUUUCAUAGACCAUUGGCUAAAUCUGUAAGAAUCCAUGGAAAUUUAUAUGGGUUUUGAAAUACUGUAAAUAUUAUUGUCCAGAAUAGUUAUUUACAUAGCAGUUUCAAAUUUUAAAAUUAACGUGACUCAAUCAGAUGGCACAUUC